rnacentral:rRNA from 1 species
UACGUAGGGUGCGAGCGUUGUCCGGAAUUACUGGGCUUAAAGGGUGCGUAGGCGGUGCGGAAAGUUGGGUGUGAAAUCCCUCGGCUCAACCGAGGAACUGCGCCCAAAACUACCGUACUUGAGGAAGAUAGAGGUGAGCGGAACUUACAGUGGAGCGGUGAAAUGCGUUGAUAUUGUAAGGAACACCCGUGGCGAAAGCGGCUCACUGGGUCUUUUCUGACGCUGAUGCACGAAAGCUAGGGGAGCAAACGGG